rnacentral:rRNA from 1 species
GACGAACGCUGGCGGCGUGCUUAACACAUGCAAGUCGAACGGAAAGGCCCUGCUUUUGUGGGGUGCUCGAGUGGCGAACGGGUGAGUAACACGUGAGUAACCUGCCCUUGACUUUGGGAUAACUUCAGGAAACUGGGGCUAAUACCGGAUAGGAGCUCCUGCUGCAUGGUGGGGGUUGGAAAGUUUCGGCGGUUGGGGAUGGACUCGCGGCUUAUCAGCUUGUUGGUGGGGUAGUGGCUUACAAAGGCUUUGACGGGUAGCCGGCCUGAGAGGGUGGCCGGCCACAUUGGGACUGAGAUACGGCCCAGACUCCUACGGGAGGCAGCAGUGGGGAAUAUUGCACAAUGGGCGGAAGCCUGAUGCAGCAACGCCGCGUGCGGGAUGACGGCCUUCGGGUUGUAAACCGCUUUCGCCUGUGACGAAGCGUGAGUGACGGUAAUGGGUAAAGAAGCACCGGCUAACUACGUG